UCUCGCGAUGUUGCGUCUCUGGGUUUAGAAAGCCUGAUAUAAGUAGCUAACACUAAAAGCAAAUAUUUACAUCUGUGAGUUCACUCAAAUAUUUUUGACGAAUUGUAACAGUCAGCCAUAACGUUAGCUGGUUUAGGUAAGGCAUGUUUUUUUGACAAAUCAUACACGUUGGGUGGCGUUUUAUGAAAUGGAAGAGCCGUGGGAUUUCGAGUUUUUAUCCCGUAUUGUGGACGGGUUUGUGUCGUUUCUUUCCGAGUUUGUGGAUGACUGGUUGGCUAAUGAUAUGAGAGUGUCAAUAUUCAAGAUCCUGUUUAGCUGGCUUGUUGUCAGUCUCAUUGCCAUCCACUUCGCUUGGAGAGUUUACGGAAACACUGUGAACGAUAUGUAUUACCGACAAGGUACUAGUGGACAGAAUGGAGGCACACCUGACACUGCACCUCACCGCAGUGGAUGGUAGGUGUCCAAGCAUCCAUGGGUCUCCCUCCAGGCCAUGUGGCAGAGAGUGAUGGGGGUGUGAGCAGGGAGAGUGCUGCAGGGGACACCAUCAAGACACACUGUGAGUGACAGACGGGACAUAACAAGUUGGACUACAUUCUACUUGUUCUCUGUCGAAUCAGACAGUGCUGCUGAGUGGACACAGACUUGAUAUGUUGUGCCUUUUCAAAUGGGCCGGAGUUCAUUGAUGAGGUGGGCCUUCCUUACUCUACGCUGAAAAAGUAUUUUUCCCGGACGGUUGUCAUGAAGGGGUAACUAAUCAGGCUCAGUUUACAUCCAGACAGCCACACCAUGCGAUAAGCUAAGAUAUUCUCUCAUAUGUCAUAACUUUUUAAAUCUCAUAUUUUAAAAUGAAGCUUAUGUAAAUUUUUACCGCCUUUGAUUGGUGAGCCAUUAAAAUAUCUAUCCAAGUCUA